AGAGUUUGAUCAUGGCUCAGAUUGAACGCUGGCGGAAUGCUUUACACAUGCAAGUCGAACGAUGAAGCCUAGCUUGCUAGGUGAAUUAGUGGCGGACGGGUGAGUAAUAUAUCGGAACGUGUCCAUUAAUGGGGGAUAACUAAUCGAAAGGUUAGCUAAUACCGCAUACGCCCUGAGGGGGAAAGCUGGGGAUCUUCGGACCUAGCGUUAAUGGAGCGGCCGAUACCUGAUUAGCUAGUUGGUGGGGUAAAAGCCUACCAAGGCAACGAUCAGUAGCUGGUCUGAGAGGACGACCAGCCACACUGGGACUGAGACACGGCCCAGACUCCUACGGGAGGCAGCAGUGGGGAAUUUUGGACAAUGGGGGCAACCCUGAUCCAGCCAUUCCGCGUGAGUGAAGAAGGCCUUCGGGUUGUAAAGCUCUUUCGCAAGGGAAGAAACGAUAUAGGUUAAUAGCUUAUGUUAAUGACGGUACCUUGACAAGAAGCACCGGCUAACUACGUGCCAGCAGCCGCGGUAAUACGUAGGGUGCAAGCGUUAAUCGGAAUUACUGGGCGUAAAGCGUGCGCAGGCUGUUUUGUAAGUCAGAUGUGAAAUCCCCGAGCUCAACUUGGGAACUGCGUUUGAAACUACAAGACUAGAAUAGGUCAGAGGGGGGUAGAAUUCCAUGUGUAGCAGUGAAAUGCGUA
rnacentral:rRNA from 1 species